rnacentral:lncRNA from 1 species
GUGGCAAGCUCAGACAGUGGCGACAGGGCCAACCUAAAGAGGAAGAAGAAGUUACCGGAUUCUUUCUCCCUGCAUGGGUCGGUUAUGCGACAUUCACUCCUAAAGGGGAUAUCUGCACAGAUCGUGUCGGCAGCCGUGAGUGUCUGUUCUCUUCACAGCGUGACUUGUAGUGUUGUGACAUAGUAGGAUGAGCACAGACCAGGCACCGCUCCUCUUUUGCCUCAAAGUUUAGGGAGAAAAAUACAAUUUGGCUUUUA